rnacentral:rRNA from 1 species
UACGGAGGGUGCAAGCGUUAAUCGGAUUUACUGGGCGUAAAGCGCACGUAGGUGGUUUGUUAAGUCGGAUGUGAAAUCCCCGGGCUCAACCUGGGAGCGGCAUUCGAUACUGGAAAACUAGAGUGUGUGAGAGGGGGGUAGAAUUCCAAGUGUAGCGGUGAAAUGCGUAGAGAUUUGGAGGAAUACCAGUGGCGAAGGCGGCCCCCGUGGCACAACACUGACGCUCAGGUGCGAAAGCGUGGGGAGCAAACAGGAUUAGAACCG